AGAGUUUGAUCAUGGCUCAGGAUGAACGCUAGCUACAGGCUUAACACAUGCAAGUCGAGGGGCAGCGAGAGUGUAGCAAUACACUUGUCGGCGACCGGCGCACGGGUGAGUAACGCGUAUCCAACCUGGCCCAUAGUAGGGGAUAGCCCGGCGAAAGUCGGAUUAAUACCCUAUGUUCUUUACAGCGGACAUCUGACGUAAAGCAAAGAUUGAUCGCUAUGGGAUGGGGAUGCGUCCGAUUAGCUUGCCGGCGGGGUAACGGCCCACCGGGGCUACGAUCGGUAGGGGUUCUGAGAGGAAGGUCCCCCACAUUGGUACUGAGACACGGACCAAACUCCUACGGGAGGCAGCAGUGAGGAAUAUUGGUCAAUGGGCGCGAGCCUGAACCAGCCAAGUAAGCGUGCAGGAAGACGGCCCUACGGGUUGUAAACUGCUUUUGCCGGGGAAUAAAGUGCGCCACGUGUGGUGUUUUGUAUGUACCCGGAGAAUAAGGACCGGCUAAUUCCGUGCCAGCAGCGGC
rnacentral:rRNA from 1 species